rnacentral:rRNA from 1 species
GCCCUUAGAGUUUGAUCCUGGCUCAGGACGAACGCUGGCGGCGUGCUUAACACAUGCAAGUUGAACGUUCCGCCCUUUUUGGCCUUCGGGCCAUAAAGGACCACGGAAAGUGGCGGACGGGUGAGUAACGCGUGGAGAACCUAUCCUCAAGUUGAGGAUAACCUGGCGAAAGUCGGGCUAAUCCUGAAUAAGCUGACAGAUGAGCAUUCAUCAGUCAGAAAAGGUGCUUUUUAGCAUCGCUUAAGGAGGGCUCCGCGUCGGAUUAGCUAGCUGGUAGGGUAAAAGCCUACCAGGGCAACAAUCCGUAGCUGGUCUGAGAAGACGAUCAGUCACACCGGAACUGAGACACGGUCCGGACUCCUACGGGAGGCAGCAGUGGGGAAUCUUCCACAAUGGGCGCAAGCCUGAUGGAGCAACGUCGCGUGAGUGAAGAAGGCCUUCGGGUUGUAAAGCUCUGUCACCGGGGAAGAACCACCGGCAGGAGAAAUACUGCCGGUCUGACGGUACCCGGUGAGGAAGCCCCGGCUAACUACGUGCCAGCAGCCGCGGUAAUACGUAGAGGGCAAGCGUUGUCCGGAAUCAUUGGGCGUAAAGGGUACGCAGGCGGAUAGGCAAGUCAAAUGUGAAAGGUGCCGGCUCAACCGGCAGAUUGCGUUUGAAACUGUCUAUCUUGAGUACAGCAGAGGAGAGCGGAAUUCCUGGUGUAGUGGUGAAAUAC